UAGGGAAUCUUCCGCAAUGGGCGAAAGCCUGACGGAGCAACGCCGCGUGAGUGAUGAAGGUCUUCGGAUCGUAAAACUCUGUUAUUAGGGAAGAACAAAUGUGUAAGUAACUAUGCACGUCUUGACGGUACCUAAUCAGAAAGCCACGGCUAACAACGUGCCAGCAGCCGCGGUAAUACGUAGGUGGCAAGCGUUAUCCGGAAUUAUUGGGCGUAAAGCGCGCGUAGGCGGUUUUUUAAGUCUGAUGUGAAAGCCCACGGCUCAACCGUGGAGGGUCAUUGGAAACUGGAAAACUUGAGUGCAGAAGAGGAAAGUGGAAUUCCAUGUGUAGCGGUGAAAUGCGCAGAGAUAUGGAGGAACACCAGUGGCGAAGGCGACUUUCUGGUCUGUAACUGACGCUGAUGUGCGAAAGCGUGGGGAUCAAACAGG
rnacentral:rRNA from 1 species